GGGGUUGCAUACAAUAAACUUGGAACGAUACAGAGAAGAUUAGCAUGGCCCCUGCACAAGGAUGACACAUGCAUGUCAGAAAGGU
rnacentral:misc_RNA from 1 species